CAUCGCUGGAGCUAUAAUGAACAGUUGGGGCUACUACAUAAGAACAGUUGCGGCACUCACCAACAAAGGUAAAGUUAGAAAUUGUGAAGCGUGCACAACUUACUGCCCUAUGGUUUAAACUUGGUCGAACAACAGUAGGUGCUAACCUGUUGCUCGCAGCCGCGGUGGCACCGGUGCCUCCUGCUCCGAUGGCAAACUUUGAAAGAAACAGGCCUCGCCCACCGGCUCCAAUGGCAAACUGGUAGGAUCCCAAACUGAGACCUGGAAGCAUGGAGAAACAGGCCUCACCCGUCCCGCUCAGAAACGUUUUGAAAAUUGGUUUGUUGUUGUAUAUGGAAG
rnacentral:lncRNA from 1 species